rnacentral:rRNA from 1 species
AUGAACUUCCGGGACGUCUUCACGCGCGAGCAGGCGCAGCGCGUCGCCCCUCCGCCGCGUCUCAUCACCGACCUCGACCGUGCCGACCAUGCUCGGCGGCAGCGCCGCCUCCUCGUCGCCGAGGAGGACGAGCGAGCCAUGGCGGAGUGGCGCCGUCGCCACCCGGAGGACGUCGCCGACGAGCACGCCUACUGGGCGGAGAGGACGGCAAGGCGCCGUGCGGAGCGGGCUGACCGGCAUCAGCGGAAGGCAUUGGCAAACGCUCAGUGCGACAUAGUUUCAGCAGGUGGGAGGUCGUUCUUCACGGCCGACGAUGACCGUUGGGACGACAUAUGGCUCUCAACCUCGGACGACACCGACGAGGAUGAUGAUGAUGAUGAUGAUGAUGGUAGCGACUUGGAGUAG